GGGCCUAUAGCUCAAUGGUAGUCUGGUGGAGCAUUUGACUGCAGACCAAGACUCAAGAGGUCACUGGUUCAAACCCAGUUGGGUCCU
rfam:Picea glauca, whole genome shotgun sequence.